ACAUUUUUAUACCAAUGCUCUUACUUCUAACAGAAGUUAAAAUUCAUACGAACUGUAGGCCCAUUCAUACGAAACUCAUUCUAAAAACCGUCUCUAGCCUCCCAUAUGUCACCGGUGCAGUGCGGUGAAAUCGAAGUGGAGAAGAAAAUUGAUGAAAAGAUUGACCAAUUCAUUAGCUGGAUUGAGAAAUACCCGAACAAGAAAAGUCAAAUUCAGGCGCACCUGAUGAGGAAGCAGUUGUAAUCUGCCUUCUGGGAUUGUUUAGUGUGCUGCCGUGAUCCUCCUGGCCAUGUCUUUGAGAACUUCCUCACGCAUCUCCAUGGUGAAGAACAUCAACAGAUGGUGUCCGACUUAUUGCCUUUGAAUAACAAUAAUGCUGUUCAACGUCUGCCUCCCAUUGAUGAAAAUCCAGUGAAAGGAACUCUCAUGGU